GGAGCUUAUAGUUCCCUGGGAAGGUGCUGUAGAUACAGCUUAUGAGGGGAAGAAACUGAAAUAUACAGAAUUAGCCAACAGAGGCAGCGGAGAGUGGCUGGAAUGUUAAAGUCUGUCCCAUGGAGGUUGGUUGUAUGGAAUUUGUAGCCAAACCAGCUGCUAGGUGAGUUAGGUAUAAACAUGUGGAGCCUAAGACAGACACUCAGGAACCUGGCUGAUCAAUGUCCAGUAAGUGGCUCUGAAGCAGAAGAAAGGUGUGUGAAUGGGGUAAAAAGCAGCUGAACUGAUACCCAGAAUGCCACUGAUAGAGUACGAGGAGCCGGCUGAGUCGCUGGUCACCGCUGAGACCUGUGUGGCAGCCGCAGAUGUUGCUGCAGAUAGAUCACAUGACAACACAAGCAGUUUGAAGGAUGCAUUAAGAGAGGUCUCCCUCACGAAAGAGGUCUAUGGUCUCACCCGGAGUCACCCACUUAA